UGUAGGCACCAUGCAAUAAAUGCAUGCUUGGCUCCUUUAUAUUCUGUGGAAGGGAUGCAUGUCAUCGCAAAGGAGGGAAUUGGGAGCCGUAAAACUGGAUUGCGUCCAAUUUAGGCAAUGAUACUGGAGCCAAGCAUUGAUAUUGCCAUUGUGAAUGCUGGGAUGCGUGUCUGCCUUGAAGAGAAGGACAAGAAAUGGGUUUCUAGAGAAGCAGAAUAUACUGAUGAUGCGCCAAUGCCGCCCAAUAAUCUGCAUGCUGCUCUGGUACUGAGUAAAAACCCUCAUGCUCGUAUGCUUUCAAUAGAUGAUUAGGGAGCCAGGUCCUCUCUUGGAUUUGUAGGAUUUUUUUCGGCUAAAGAUGUACCUGGUAAGAAUAUGAUUGGAGCAGUUAUUGCUGAUGAAAAACUUUUUGCCACAGAGUUUGUCACUUGUGCGGGUCAGGUAUCAUGCUAUACUCUGAGAUGUUCUCUCCAUUCACAAAUUUAUCUAUACAGAAAUAUUAGGUUAAUAUUCAGAAUAAA